CCUACGGGAGGCAGCAGUGGGGAAUAUUGCACAAUGGGGGAAACCCUGAUGCAGCGACGCCGCGUGAGUGAAGAAGUAUCUCGGUAUGUAAAGCUCUAUCAGCAGGGAAGAAAAUGAUGAUGGUUGACUACUAAGCCGCGGCUACCAACUUCCCAGCAGCCGCCGCAAUACGGAGGGGGCAAGCGUUAUCCGGAUUUACUGGUUGGAAAGGGAGCGUAGACGGCGGCACAAGUCUGCAGUGAAAUGCCGGGGGGUAACCCCGGAAGUGCUUUGGAAACCGUGCGGCUGGAGUGCAGGAGGGGUAAGCGGAAUUCCUAGUGUAGCGGUGAAAUGCGUAGAUAUUAGGAGGAACACCAGUGGCGAAGGCGGCUUACUGGACUGUAACUGACGUUGAGGCUCGAAAGCGUGGGGAGCAAACAGGAUUAGAUACCCUAGUAGUC
rnacentral:rRNA from 1 species